AGAGUUUGAUCAUGGCUCAGAUUGAACGCUGGCGGAAUGCUUUACACAUGCAAGUCGAGCGGCAGCGCGGGGCAACCUGGCGGCGAGCGGCGGACGGGUGAGUAACAUAUCGGAACGUGUCCUGUAGUGGGGGAUAGCCCGGCGAAAGCCGGAUUAAUACCGCAUACGAUCUACGGAUGAAAGUGGGGGACCUUCGGGCCUCACGCUAUAGGAGCGGCCGAUAUCUGAUUAGCUAGUUGGUGGGGUAAAGGCCUACCAAGGCGAUGAUCAGUAGCUGGUCUGAGAGGAUGAUCAGCCACACUGGGACUGAGACACGGCCCAGACUCCUACGGGAGGCAGCAGUGGGGAAUUUUGGACAAUGGGCGCAAGCCUGAUCCAGCCAUUCCGCGUGAGUGAAGAAGGCCUUCGGGUUGUAAAGCUCUUUCGGCCGGAACGAAACGGGUCAUAUUAAUACUAUGGCCUACUGACGGUACCGGAGUAAGAAGCACCGGCUAACUACGUGCCAGCAGCCGCGGUAAUACGUAGGGUGCGAGCGUUAAUCGGAAUUACUGGGCGUAAAGCGUGUGCAGGCGGUUUGUUAAGACAGGUGUGAAAUCCCCGGGCUUAACCUGGGAAUUGCGCUUGUUACUGGCAAGCUAGAGUACGUCAGAGGGGGGUGGAAUUCCACGUAGCAGUGAAAUGCGUAGAGAUGUGGAGGAACACCGAUGGCGAAGGCAGCCCCCUGGGAUGAUACUGACGCUCAUACACGAAAGCGUGGGGAGCAAACAGGAUUAGAUACCCUAGUAGUCC
rnacentral:rRNA from 1 species